UUUAGUGUGGGUGCAUAUAACGGGGUGGCAGUGUUGUUUGGGUGUAAAGCAUUUUCAGGAUGGUAACGAUAUGGCUGUUGUUAUUCCUUUGGUUAGAAUAUCAUCAAAUUUGAUUUGAAGUUAUAUCCAAUCAACUACAAACAAAC